UGCUCAGUCUGUGGAAGACUGCUUGGCAACUCCAGAGUGCAGGCUUUGAUUCAAUACACUUUUCCCUUCAGGAAACAAUCUUCACUCUUGGAUGUCUCGACUCUGGAUGGGGGACUCUGUACUUGUGCUGCUGCUGCCAUAUUUGCAAUGGUACUAAGAUGGUUCAUCUGGCUCAUUGCCAUUGUAACAGAUGCUGGAGGCCUAUUUAAGUAAACACAAAAGAAAGACAGGACUUUGCAAACUGCUGAUGUUAGUGUUGAAAGAUGUCAACCCGUACCAUUUGGCAGAAGGUGGUU